AAUGCACCAAUUUGUAAGUCGCUCUGGAUAAGAGCGUCUGCUAAUAGAUGUAAA
rfam:Salmo salar isolate Sally breed double haploid chromosome ssa12, whole genome shotgun sequence.